rnacentral:rRNA from 1 species
CCCUUAGAUGUUCUGGGCUGCACGCGUGCUACAAUGGCGCUUGCAACAAGUCUUGCCAACCCGAUAGGGUGAGCGGAUCUUUGAAGAGGCGUCGUGAUCGGGACAGUUGAUUGCAAUUAUUCGACUCGAACGAGGAAUUCCUUGUAAUCGCGAUUCAUCAUAUCGCGCUGAAUACGUCCCUGCCCUUUGUACACACCGCCCGUCGCUGCCCGGAACUGAGCCGUUUCGAGAAGACUGGGGACUGCGAACUUUGGGCUGGAAAACAGCUUUUUGUUUGUGGAAACCACUUUAAUCGCAGCGGCUUGAACCGGGCAAAAGUCGUAACA